rnacentral:lncRNA from 1 species
UCAUCAAUUUUUGCGGGGUCGGGCCGUCAACGAAGUCAUCACACCAGAUAGCUAGUUUUGGUACUUUCUUCUUAGUGUGCUUAGAAGAUCAUUUUGGCAUGUAUAAGCUAGUACGUUGUGUUUGAAUUAUGGCAUGUAAACUUUAAGCCAUGCGAAAAUGGCACGAAUGUUCGAUUGAGUUGGAUCGAGGGUAGGCAUGAAAUGGACCUAGUUACUUUCGUAACAGAUGCUGGCAGCAGCAGUGUCAUGAGAUUGAAAAAUCACUAAAAAUAGUAGGAGUGGAAUUAAUUGAUGAAUAAAUUAUGUAAUCGAAGCUCGAUGAGUCUGUUUUCAUGAGGAAGUAACGAAAAGAUCAUAUGGGCAGUAUAUUAAGAGAUAAUCAGAUUUUAGUGGGACAGGGCCAGAACGGUUUCUGGAUUCCCUGCUCCGACUUUGGAAAUUCAUUAUAAAUUAAACAGAGAUAAUUAGGGGUCGUACCAUAUAUGUGCAGAUUCCUCUCUGAGUCUAGUUUCCAUAGAAACAAACGGCAACAGUAUUGAAGCCCCGUGCAGGGAGAUAUCCCAGUCGUAAUGGGCAAAGGUCAGUGUAGUCGACCCCUGCAACUUGGGGAACUUUGACUAAUAAACUGUACUAAUUGGCCCAACCAAAAAUUCUAGAAAAAAAUACAUAGAUGGGCAUAUGAGUCUAGUUUCUGGGAAAAAUUACGAAACUAAUUUUCGAGUUACGAAACUCAAGAUAUGAAUUUUAAAACGACUAGUACACAGAUUGGGCAGUGUCUGGAAAAUAAAUUUUGUAAGAGGUUAAAGCCAGUCAACACCUCGUGUUCGACCCCGAUGACGGUUUCGGGUUCGGGGUGUUACAUUUUAUUGGUAUCAGAGCCAGGUUUAGUCGGUUCUAGGACUUCCAUAGCACGUAUGAGUCUAGCUAUACAUGCCAUAAUGUUAAUGUUUAAAAAGGGGGAUGACUUCUGACGGUUGAAAUGUUUUUGUCUUGAUUAGUAAAUGGAUCCCGGUGAAGAAAGAACCCUAGCGGAUGACGUUGAGAGCGUAGCGGCUGCUCCUGCACAAGGGACGCCGCCUGUUGAACCCCAGUCAUCUGCGAAUAAUCAAGGUGAGGGGGCUAAACAAGCCUUCUUUACCAUGAUGAAUGAGUGGGUCGCGCAAUAUGCCCGAGCCAACCCGGCUGUCCAACAAUUCCCAAAUUUGAAUAACCCACCCCAAGAGCCUGUAAGGCCGUCAGUCGCUGAUCCUGUGAGGCUGAGUAAGCUACCUGUAGACUUGAUUAGGAAGCGUGGGGCCGAGGAGUUCAAGGCCAUAGUAACUGAUGAUGCCGAAAGGGCCGAGUUCUGGCUUGAUAACACCAUUCGGGUGUUCGAUGAAUUGUCAUGCACACCCGAUGAAUGUCUAAAAUGUGCUGUAUCUUUGUUGCGAGACUCAGCCUACUAUUGGUGGAGGACAUUGAUUUCCAUAGUCCCGAACGAGCGAGUAACUUGGGACUUCUUUCAAACGGAAUUUCGGAAGAAAUUUAUUAGCCAACGGUUCAUUGACCAGAAGCGUAAGGAGUUCUUGAAACUCAAGCAAGGCCGUAUGACUGUAUCUGAAUACGAACAUGAAUUCGUAAGACUUAGUAGGUAUGCCCGGGAGUGCGUAGCUGAUGAGGUUGCUAUGUGCAAAAGAUUUGAGGAAGGAUUGAACGAAGAUUUAAAGCUACUAAUGGGUAUUCUGGAAAUAAAGGAAUUCGUAACACUAGUCGAACGAGCCUGCAAGGCGGAGGAACUUGGAAAGGAGAAGAGGAAGGCUGAAUUUGAAGCUAGAGAUUAUCGUAAAAGAUCGACGGGUAAAGCUCCGUUCUCAGCUGUGAAGAAGUUCAGGGAGGACAUUAAUAAGUCGAGGGCGACUGCGGGAAUUUCCAUCAGGGCAAGACCAUCGAUGGGCUCCCGAGCUACUUCGGUAGCUAGUGUGGGCAAUAAUCGGCACGAGAAACCUGAAUGUCCCCAAUGUGGAAGACGACACCUAGGUGAAUGUUGGGGCAAGUCUACUAACAGGGCCUGUUACGGAUGCGGUUCGAAGGACCACUUCAUUAGAGAUUGCACGGAGCUGGAUGAGAAGAAUAAGAUUCAAGGUGCAAGACCUAGUGGAGUGACAUCUAGAGGUAGACCACCGAGAAUUUUUGGAGGCAGGGGUGGUAGUCAGAGGGGGGCUUCUGAUACGGCCGAUCGCGCCGAGAACCGUGCUCCUGCUAGAGCAUAUGCCAUUCGCGCACGAGAGGAGGCAUCCUCCCCCGACGUCAUCACUGGUACCUUCACUCUCUUUGAUACUAAUGUGAUUGCAUUGAUUGACCCUGGUUCUACUCAUUCAUAUGUAUGCGAAACCUUAGCAACCAGUAAGACUCUACCUGUUGAGUCUACUGAGCUCGUAAUUCGAGUAUCAAACCCUUUGGGUCAAUGCGUACUUGUUGAUAAAGUGUGUAAGAGAUGCCCUCUAUUAAUCCGAGAAUCCUGUUUUCCGGCUGAUUUGAUGCUUUUGCCGUUCGACGAGUUUGAUGUUAUUCUUGGUUUGGAUUGGUUAACCGCGCAUGAUGCGGUUGUGAAUUGCAAAAGCAAGACUAUCGAUUUGAGGUGCGCAAAUAACGAAAUAAUCCGAGUUGAGUCUGCGGACUUAAGGGGGUUGCCAGCUGUAAUAUCAGCAAUGUUGGCCCAGAAAUAUGUAAGGAAAGGGUGCGAAGCAUACCUCGCGUAUGUACUUGAUGACAAGGAGUUAGAAAAGAAACCCGAAUCGGUGCCGGUGGUUUGUGAAUACCCGGAUGUUUUUCCUGAAGAGUUACCGGGUUUGCCACCUGUUCGGGAAGUAGAGUUUGGAAUUGAGCUUGUACCUGGAACUACGCCAAUUUCGAUCGCUCCGUAUCGUAUGGCACUAACUGAGUUAAAAGAGUUGAAAGCUCAGUUGCAAGAAUUGACGGAUAGAGGUUUCGCUCGACCGAGUUUCUCGCCUUGGGGUGCACCAGUAUUGUUCGUGAAAAAGAAGGACGGAACCAUGAGGUUGUGCAUUGACUAUCGUCAACUGAAUAAAGUGACGAUAAAGAAUAAGUAUCCGUUACCGCGUAUAGAUGAUCUGUUCGAUCAAUUAAAGGGAGCAUCGGUGUUUUCAAAGAUAGAUUUGAGAUCGGGUUAUUAUCAGUUACGGAUUCGAGAUUCGGACGUACCCAAAACUGCUUUCAGAACGAGGUACGGUCACUAUGAGUUCUUAGUGAUGCCGUUUGGGCUCACUAAUGCCCCUGCGGUGUUUAUGGAUUUGAUGAAUCGGAUCUUUAGGCCGUAUUUGGAUCGGUUCGUAGUUGUGUUUAUUGAUGACAUCUUGGUCUAUUCAAGAGAUGAGGCCGAACAUGCUGAGCAUCUGAGGCUAGUGAUGCAAAUUUUGCGGGAUAAGCAGUUAUAUGCUAAGUUCAGUAAGUGUGAGUUCUGGCUAAGAGAGGUUAGCUUCUUGGGUCAUGUGGUAUCCGCAUCGGGUAUUCGGGUUGACCCGAGCAAAAUUUCAGCCAUACUUAACUGGAAGCCUCCGAGAAAUGUUACCGAAGUCCGGAGCUUUCUAGGGCUCGCCGGUUAUUACCGACGAUUUGUCAAAGGUUUCUCGAUGAUAGCCACACCAAUGACGAAGCUACUUCAGAAGGAUGUUAAGUUCGAAUGGACGGAGAAAUGUCAGAAAAGCUUCGAUCAACUGAAAACUCAUCUGACUAAAGCUCCAAUUUUGGUGCAACCUGAAUCGGGUAAAGAGUUUGUCGUUUAUAGUGACGCAUCCCUACUCGGGUUGGGUUGUGUAUUGAUGCAAGAAGGUCGAGUUGUGGCCUAUGCGUCGAGACAAUUGAAGCCACACGAGAGAAAUUAUCCGACCCAUGAUCUCGAACUAGCCGCCAUUGUGUUUGCAUUGAAAAUAUGGCGACAUUAUUUGUUUGGUGAGAAGUGCCAUGUGUUUUCGGAUCACAAAAGUCUCAAAUAUUUGAUGACUCAACGGGACUUGAAUCUGCGACAAAGACGUUGGCUUGAAUUGUUGAAGGAUUAUGAGCUUGUCAUUGAUUACCACCCGGGAAAGGCUAAUGUGGUUGCGGACGCCUUAAGCCGGAAAUCACUGUUUGCUUUGCGAGCGAUGAAUGUACACUUGUCUGUUCUACCUGACAAUGUGUUAGUAGCUGAAUUAAAAGCCAAACCAUUAUUGACUCAUCAAAUUCAUGAAGCUCAGAAAGUCGAUGAUGAAUUAGUUGCAAAACGAGCUGAGUGUGUUCCGAACAAGGAGUCGGAGUUUCAGAUUGAUGAUGAUGGUUGUUUGAGGUUUAGAAGUCGUUUGUGCGUUCCAAGGAAUUCGGAACUCAUUCCGAUGAUCCUGAACGAAGCCCAUUGUAGCCGAAUGUCAAUUCACCCGGGGAGCACGAAAAUGUACAACGACUUGAAACGUCAGUUUUGGUGGCAUGGUAUGAAGCGAGACAUCUCCGACUUUGUUUCGAGAUGUUUAAUAUGUCAACAAGUGAAAGCGGAACAUCAAGUGCCUUCAGGGUUACUUCAGCCGAUCAUGAUACCCGAGUGGAAAUGGGACCGAGUCACAAUGGACUUUGUGUCCGGACUGCCAUUGUCCGCAAGUAAGAAGGAUGCGAUUUGGGUUGUUGUUGAUAGGCUGACAAAGUCGGCUCACUUUAUCCCCGUGCGUACGGAUUUUUCAUUGGAUAAACUAGCCGAGUUGUAUGUUUCUCAGAUUGUGAGAUUACAUGGAGUACCUAUUUCUAUCGUGUCGGAUAGAGAUCCGAGAUUCAUCUCGCGAUUUUGGAAGAAAUUGCAAGAAGCUUUGGGUACCCAGCUGCAUUUUAGCACCGCUUUUCAUCCCCAAACCGAUGGUCAAUCCGAGCGGAUAAUUCAGAUACUCGAGGAUAUGCUGAGAUGUUGCAUCCUUGAGUUUAGUGGUUCAUGGGAACGGUAUGUACCUUUGAUUGAAUUCGCUUACAACAAUAGUUUUCAAUCAAGUAUUAAGAUGGCACCUUACGAGGCUUUGUACGGUCGUAAAUGCCGUACACCAUUGUUUUGGACCGAGCUUGGUGAAAGUAAAAUUUUCGGAGUUGAUUUGAUUAAAGAUGCUGAACAGAAAGUAAAAGUAAUCCGUGAAAGUUUGAAGGCAGCCACAGAUCGUCAGAAAUCGUAUGCGGAUCUGAAACGGAAGGACAUUGAAUAUCAGGUGGGAGAUAAAGUGUUCCUUAAAGUUUCGCCUUGGAAAAAGGUACUUAGGUUUGGCCGUAAGGGCAAGUUGAGCCCGAGAUUCAUUGGGCCGUACGAAAUCUCCGAACGAGUGGGGCCAGUUGCGUAUAGAUUGAUUUUGCCCCCUGAGCUUGAAAAGAUUCACGAUGUCUUUCAUGUUUCGAUGCUUCGACGCUAUCGAUCUGAUCCGUCGCAUAUAAUUAGCCCAUCAGAGGUUGAAAUUCAAGCCGAUAUGAGUUAUGAAGAAGAACCGAUACGUAUCCUAGCUCGUGAGGUGAAAGAGUUGCGAAACAAAAGGGUUCCGUUGGUUAAGGUGUUGUGGCUCAAACACGGGAUCGAGGAAGCAACCUGGGAACCCGAGAGCUCGAUGAAGGAACGAUAUCCAAACCUAUUUACUGGUAAGAUUUUCGAGGACGAAAAUUUCUUAAGUGAGGGAGAGUUGUGACAGCCCAAAAUUGACCCUAGCCGGGAAGUGGUUUCGGGACCGCUAAACCGAGUCACCGAAAGGUUUGAAUGUGAUGUUUAUUGUCUAGAAUAUGUAAUCAUGAAUGUGUAAAAAUUUCAAGCUUCGAUUUAGUCGAUUGCAUGUGAAUUUAGUCAAUAGGACUUAUAUGAGAAAAUUUUAAAAUGUGAUAGGUCAAUGCAUGAGGACCUAUUAGUGCAUGUGGAAGAAAAAGGGGACUUGCAUGUCAAAUUCCCCCUCCCUAAUAUGUAGUGGCCGGCCAUGCUAUAGGUGGAAACAUGUCUCCAACAUGUUAUGCUAGUGAUGCAUGUUAAGAAUAAUAAAAUAAUAAGCAUGGUGAUUAAAUAAUGAAAGAAGGGUGAUGGAGAAAAAAAAAAAGUACAUGGUCUCACCCCCCCCCCUUGUUGCCGUGAAUUGAAGAAAGAAAACAAAAAAAAAAAAAAAAGAGUUCAUUCUUGAACAUCCUUGGCCGAAUAGAGGAAAGAAAGGAAGGGGAAAAAGGCUUGAGAAAAAUCGGCUAUGGUGGUGGUUAGACUAAGGUAUGUUUGAUGUUGUCUUUGAGAUGCAUGCAUGUUUUAAAUAGCCCAUGUUUAAACUUUGAAUCUUGUUGAUAACAUGAGCAAUCGGUCAUGAGAAAGUGUUCAAGGAAAAGGUUGUUGAUGAAAGAAAUUAAUGUGUUAAGGGAUUAUAUGAAACUUAUUCAUGUUUAUAUAUGUUAUAUGCAACGAAAAUGGUUGAUGAUUUUGGAGGUGAUUAGCUUGAAUCGGCCACGGUAUAUCCAUAAACACGAUCUAUGCUUGUUAUGUUACUCAUGGUUAAAACAAUUCGGCUAGGACAUUCGGCCAUGGAUGGUUGUAUUUCUUUGAUGUUGUUUUUGAUGCCUUAGGGCAUUGAGGGUUGAUUAUAGAUGAGGUGAGCUUCUUGAUUUAAAAAUUUGAUGGAUGUUAAGCUAAUUGGGCAACCAAAGGUUCAAUAUUUUUGUUAUGAGGUCAUAUGUGCAUUCGGCCAUGGUCUUUGCUUGAAUAUGAGAAUUGUAAUGUGAUUUUCCUAAAUUGUCUAUGAAUUUGGUUGUUGAUUUCAUGGUAAUGGUAUAUUGAAUCCAUGAGAAAUUAGUAAGGUUGCAUUCGGCAACUUACUUGAAAUUAAAAAUCGAUGUCUAAGCUUAGGUGAUUUCGAUGAUGAUAUAUGUGUGUAUACAUAAGUAUAUUUAGUUGAUUCGGCUUUGGUAGUUGCAUGAGAUUAUUAGCCGAAUAUACUAACAUACAUAUACAUGUGAGAUUGGAUUGUAAAUAUUUAGCAAGGUGGUUAAACUAGUUAAAUUAUUGAUAUAGCUCAAGGAGCUAAAGGAGGUGAAUCGAGCAAAGGCAAAGAAAAGGUUAUCGAGUAGCCGAGUUGGAACCGUCUUACCCAACACGAGGUAAGUCAUUAAGCAUGUAGUUGGUAUUAUUUCAAUGGUCAUAAUGUUGUGUAUUGAUGCUGAAUGGAAUGAAUAAAUGUACAUAUUUAUAUAUGCAUGUACGUAUGUGAUGAUGAAAUUGUUGAAUGAAAUAAAAGAGGUGAGAUGUAAUGAGUUGUUGAUCUCGGCACUAAACGUGCGGGAUAACCAUUUAUGACCAUGAGAUUGGCGCUAAGUGCGCGGGAUUAAAUUGUACAGCACUAAGUGUGCGAUUCUACUUUGUUGCACUAAGUGUGCGAAAUGAAUAUGAUGCACUAAGUGUGCGAAUUGACCAUGCGGCACUAAGUGUGCGGGUUUGACUAUGUAGCACUAAGUGUGCGAUUUGAUUACGUGGCACUAAAUGUGCGAGUUGAUUAUAUAGCACUGAGUGUGCGGGCUCAAUAUACAUUCGUGAAUAAUUAUGGACACUAUGUGUGCGACACUAUUGAGCUGAUCGCGGACAGCGGAUCGGGUAAGUGUCUUGAGGACAUGGCUAAUAUGUGCUAUGCGUAUACUUGGUGUUGAGCUCGGUAAGUUGAACCUAUGUGACAACUAUACUUGAAGUCACGUACAUAAAAAUUUAUCGUAGGAUGGGUGAAAGGCCGUUUUGUGGUUUGAUUGUAACGAAAAUAAAUUGAUUUAUGAAAAUGCUUCAAUGUCCUAUUGAUGAGUAUAUGAAUUGUGAAGGCAUGAAUUGAUAUGAAAUUGAAUCGGUAGGUUGGUGGAACUAUGGUAUGGUUCGGUAUGGAUGGAGUAAAUUGUCUCAUUCCAUUUUAUUCCUCUUGUGAUAAUGUUAUUGAUGUAUAGUAGAGCAUUGCUUAUGACUUACUGAGUUAUAAACUCACCCGGUGUUUCCUUGUCACCCAUUAUAGGUUGCUUGGACUCAUCAAUUUUUGCGGGGUCGGGCCGUCAACGAAGUCAUCACACCAGAUAGCUAGUUUUGGUACUUUCUUCUUAGUGUGCUUAGAAGAUCAUUUUGGCAUGUAUAAGCUAGUACGUUGUGUUUGAAUUAUGGCAUGUAAACUUUAAGCCAUGCGAAAAUGGCACGAAUGUUCGAUUGAGUUGGAUCGAGGGUAGGCAUGAAAUGGACCUAGUUACUUUCGUAACAGAUGCUGGCAGCAGCAGUGUCAUGAGAUUGAAAAAUCACUAAAAAUAGUAGGAGUGGAAUUAAUUGAUGAAUAAAU